rnacentral:rRNA from 1 species
GAUGAACGCUGGCGGCGUGCCUAACACAUGCAAGUCGAGCGAGAAAUAAAGGAAUGAAGCUUCGGUAGAUUUUCUUUAUGGAAAGCGGCGGACGGGUGAGUAACGCGUAGGCAACCUGCCCUGUACAGGGGGAUAGCCACCCGAAAAGGUGAUUAAUACCCCAUAACGCAAGAGAUACACAUGUAUCACUUGUCAAAGAUUUAUCGGUAUAGGAUGGGCCUGCGUCUGAUUAGCUAGUUGGUAGGGUAACGGCUUACCAAGGCAACGAUCAGUAGCCGACCUGAGAGGGUGAUCGGCCACAUUGGAACUGAGACACGGUCCAAACUCCUACGGGAGGCAGCAGUGGGGAAUAUUGCACAAUGGGCGCAAGCCUGAUGCAGCAACGCCGCGUGAAGGAUGAAGGCCUUCGGGUUGUAAACUUCUGUCCUAGGGGAAGAAACAAAUACAUUACCCUG